ACGAUAUUCCGCUGCUGUUUACCGGUAAGAAUAUCUG
rfam:Lactobacillus rennini DSM 20253 NODE_157, whole genome shotgun sequence.